CACACAGAGAGAGAGAGAGAGAGAGAGAGAGAGAGAGAGAGCAUCUCUCUCUCUCUCUCUCUCUCUCUCUCUCUCUCUGAUGAC
rnacentral:miRNA from 1 species